GACGAACGCUGGCGGCGUGCUUAACACAUGCAAGUCGAACGGUAAGGCCCUUCGGGGUACACGAGUGGCGAACGGGUGAGUAACACGUGGGUGAUCUGCCCUGCACUUCGGGAUAAGCCUGGGAAACUGGGGCUAAUACCGGCUAGGACCCCGGUAUGCAUGUCCUGUGGGGGAAAGCUUUUGCGGUGUGGGAUUGGCCCGCGGCCUAUCAGCUUGUUGGUGGGGUGAUGGCCUACCAAGGCGACGACGGGUAGCCGGCCUGAGAGGGUGACCGGCCACACUGGGACUGAGAUACGGCCCAGACUCCUACGGGAGGCAGCAGUGUGGAAUAUUGCACAAUGGGCGCAAGCCUGAUGCAGCGACGCCGCGUGAGGGAUGACGGCCUUCGGGUUGUAAACCUCUUUCAGCACCGACGAAGCGCAAGUGACGGUAGGUGCAGAAGAAGGACCGGCCAACUACGUGCCAGCCGCCGCAGUAA
rnacentral:rRNA from 1 species